rnacentral:rRNA from 1 species
UACAGAGGUCCCAAGCGUUGUUCGGAUUCACUGGGCGUAAAGGGUGCGUAGGUGGUCGGGUAAGUCUGAUGUGAAAUCUCCGGGCCUAACCCGGAAACUGCAUCGGAUACUAUUCGGUUAGAGGGUUGGAGGGGGGACUGGAAUACUUGGUGUAGCGGUGAAAUGCGUAGAUAUCAGGAGGAACACCGAUGGCGAAGGCAGGUCUCUGGGCUGACACUGACGCUCAUGCACGAAAGCGUGGGGAGCAAACAGG